rnacentral:rRNA from 1 species
UGCCAGCCGCCGCGGUAAUACAGAGGGUGCAAGCGUUGUUCGGAAUUACUGGGCGUAAAGCGUGCGUAGUCGGUAUUGAGAGUCACGGGUGAAAUCCCAGGGCUUAACCCUGGAACUGCCUGUGAGACCUCAGUGCUAGAGUGUGAGAGGGGAUAGUGGAAUACCCAGUGUAGCGGUGAAAUGCGUAGAGAUUGGGUGGAACACCGGUGGCGAAGGCGGCUACCUGGCUCACAACUGACGAUCAGGCACGAAAGCGUGGGGAGCAAACAGGAUUAGAUA